rnacentral:lncRNA from 1 species
GGCAUUGUUGCCUACUGUGACUGAUGGCCACAUGCCUCUCUGUAGGGGCUGUGGGAGGCUGUGACAGGAGCCAGGGGGCCCAGGGGUCGUGGCUGAACACCUGUUGUCUCUCAUAAGUGGAAGCCAUCACCUACCGGGUCACUGGGGUUCAAGGCCUGUGCUCGACCGGGACCAGGCUGUCUGUGCACAGCUCACUGCCCCACAAGCAAGGACUCUACCCAAUCCUUCCCUUGCUCAACUGAGGAAAGUCCUAAGCCAUCAUAAUGCAGAAAGCAUCAUGACAGCUAGCUCUGGACCAGUUCAGGAAGAGAGGGCCAUCCCUGUCUCCAGAGAAGGCCAAAGUAAGAGACCUGAAGAGACCCGCAGCCAAGGCUCGAAGAGCAGUAAGCAGUCUAUGAAAGAACACAGACAGCUCCUGCCCUGCUCCGGGCAAGCCUCUGUCUGUCACCCUGUAGUCUGUGGGCUCACAUAUGCAAGCCCCGCCAUCCGUGAUGCUCUGACCAUCCUGGCCGAAUCACUUUUCUAGCUCUCAGAGAAGCACUGGAUUAAAAUGUUUCCGCUGACCCUGCAAUGAGGCCAGUCAGUGGAUUCUAAGAAGGUGUCCGGCGGUUUAGCAUCUUGCCUCAGAUGCUGCGGCUGCUGAUUGCACACGUGUUUCCGGCUUGGCUCCCACAGUGAAUGUUGACAGAAACAGCGUCUUCAGAGAAUGUAGAAAAAGAGGGAUUCGGGAGAUUAGGGACACAAUUUCCAUGUCUAGACUCAGUUCCCGCAGCGACAUCUGCUCUAAUCAGGGUCCCUGGGAUUCAGCACCUUGUGCAGAUCACCCCCUAAACAGCUUCGCUCUCUUGGAGAAACUGGAUUGUGAAACCUCCCGACAGCAGCCCUGGGUGCGAGGACCCUCCCCGUGCCGUUCCAAGGUUAAACCCCAGGUGAAGUCCUGAGGUUUUGUGGUUGCAAAAACAAAGUAUGAGAAAAG